ensembl:lncRNA
UGAAAUUUCCAGCCGUGCUUCUUUCCCCACAAAUCACAAAUGAGGGACACACAGAGUGUGGGCUGACAGCAUCAUUUGACCUGUCAUGAGCAGAGGGCAGCAGAAAGGCCCCCAAAUCUUACAGCUGAAUUAGGCCCCCUGGAUUCCCUGUGGUGGUGACAGUGGAAGCGAAGGGCUGCAGAAGUACUUUGGGACAGCAAGGGAUUGACUGUAAAACAGCAGGCUCUGAAUUCAGCAACUGCUCCUACAGAACUCUCGGACUCUCCCUUUUACCCGGGGGAGGAGCGAAGGGGAUAGGGAGCCAGCAACCAGGUACGGGAGAGGAGGUCUCAAGGGACAAAGGACACCUGGAUGGCCCAAUGUCCCCCGAGGGUAAAGGGCAUCUUUUGAAUCUGCUCAAUCACUCGACUCCGUUUUGGAAUUCCAGGAGUGACUGACAAUGCUCAGCAGGGGUCAGGGUGGGGAAAGGAGGAGUGAUUGACACACCUGGGAGGAAAUUCGGGGGUAAACCAUGAAACCACACUGCAACAGGGAGGGGUGAGGUCAGGGUGGUUUUAAAAUCCAUUAUACUUCUCAUUAUCCUGCUCUGAUUUUGUUAGUGAUAAAUUCAGUUCAUGAUCCCCAAGCUGAGUCUGCUUUGCCUGUGAUGGUAUUUGGUGAGGGAUCUCUCCCCCUCCUUAACCCAUGAAUCCUUUAUUAUAUUUUUCUCUCCCCAUCCAGCUGUGGAGGGGAGUGGUUGAGUGGGUCAGGGGAGUUCCUGGCAUCCAGCCAGGGCUGACCCACCACGGGGGAACAGGAUAC